GUUUGGUUCAAGUACAAUGGUGUUUACAACUAAUGGAUCACAACCAGUUAGAUUUAUUUGUCCCUUCUCCAAACCCCCACUGCUUCACUUGACUAGCCUUAA
rnacentral:Y_RNA from 1 species